CGCCACAACAGUUCACUAUAAACUGCCGAAGCGAGUAAUGUACUCGUAUAUAAAAGUAUCAAGAGAUCUCGAUUACGGCAUAAUACGUUUUAUUGUGAAUAUUUACUUUGUCUUUACUUCUAUUCCAAAAAAACCAACCAAAAUCCAAAAUGGGCGCUGAAAAGGUAUCCAUGAACAUCAUUGUCGUCGGACAAGUCGAAUCUGCCAAGGUCAUUAAGACUGUCGCCAAAGCCGUACCAAAAAUGGGCUCAUUAAUAAACUUUUAACUCAUGCAAUCCAUAAAUCGCCUACUCAAAAACGCCAUAGCUCAAACAAUGUAUUUAUACGUAUAUAAUAUGUAUUAUAACAUUGCCAAAUAUAUCAAUUUUUACCGUUA
rnacentral:lncRNA from 1 species